ACACCUCAACUCUCACGGCUUGCCCGUGAUGAGCUUGGACUUUGGGGGCCUUGCUGGCCUGCGGUCAGCUCCUCUCAAACCGAUCAGCUUGCCAGUGUUUGGUGGCAUCACGGGUGUGAUAACUAUCUACGCUUGUGGUGUUUCCACCAGGUGUCCUCUAGCGAUGGGGGCCUCUGGAGCUCAUAGACGUCUCUCUGGGGACAGCUUUUUGAAC
rnacentral:misc_RNA from 1 species